AUUGAACGCUGGCGGCAGGCCUAACACAUGCAAGUCGAACGAGUGGCGGACGGGUGAGUAAUGUCUGGGAAACUGCCCCAUGGAGGGGGAUAACUACUGGAACCGGUAGCUAAUACCGCAUACUAUCGGAUGUGCCCAGAUGGGAUUAGCUAGUAGGUGGGGUAAAGGCUCACCUAGGCGACGAUCCCUAGCUGGUGUGAGAGGAUGACCAGCCACACUGGAACGGAGACACGGUCCAGACUCCUACGGGAGGCAACAGUGGGGAAUAUUGCACAAUGGGCGCAAGCCUGGUGCAGCCAUGCGGCGUGUAUGAAGAAGGGCUUCGGGUUGUAAAGUACUUUCGGCAGGGAGGCGUUACCCGCAGAAGAAGCACCGGCUAACUCCGUGCCAGCAGCCGCGGUAAUAC
rnacentral:rRNA from 1 species